rnacentral:rRNA from 1 species
UCGGGUUGUAAACCUCUUUCGCCAGGGACGAAGCGCAAGUGACGGUACCUGGAGAAGAAGGACCGGCCAACUACGUGCCAGCAGCCGCGGUAAUACGUAGGGUCCGAGCGUUGUCCGGAAUUACUGGGCGUAAAGAGCUCGUAGGUGGUUUGUCGCGUUGUCCGUGAAAACUCACAGCUCAACUGUGGGCGUGCGGGCGAUACGGGCAGACUGGAGUACUGCAGGGGAGACUGGAAUUCCUGGUGUAGCGGUGGAAUGCGCAGAUAUCAGGAGGAACACCGGUGGCGAAGGCGGGUCUCUGGGCAGUAACUGACGCUGAGGAGCGAAAGCGUGGGGAGCGAACAGGAUUAGAUACCCUGGUAGUCCACGCCGUAAACGGUGGGUACUAGGUGUGGGUUUCCUUCCUUGGGAUCCGUGCCGUAGCUAACGCAUUAAGUACCCCGCCUGGGGAGUACGGCCGCAAGGCUAAAACUCAAAGAAAUUGACGGGGGCCCGCACAAGCGGCGGAGCAUGUGGAUUAAUUCGAUGCAACGCGAAGAACCUUACCUGGGUUUGACAUGCACAGGACGCCGGCAGAGAUGUCGGUUCCCUUGUGGCCUGUGUGCAGGUGGUGCAUGGCUGUCGUCAGCUCGUGUCGUGAGAUGUUGGGUUAAGUCCCGCAACGAGCGCAACCCUUAUCUUAUGUUGCCAGCGCGUAAUGGCGGGGACUCGUGAGAGACUGCCGGGGUCAACUCGGAGGAAGGUGGGGAUGACGUCAAGUCAUCAUGCCCCUUAUGUCCAGGGCUUCACACAUGCUACAAUGGCCGGUACAAAGGGCUGCGAUGCCGUGAGGUGGAGCGAAUCCUUUCAAAGCCGGUCUCAGUUCGGAUCGGGGUCUGCAACUCGACCCCGUGAAGUCGGAGUCGCUAGUAAUCGCAGAUCAGCAACGCUGCGGUGAAUACGUUCCCGGGCCUUGUACACACCGCCCGUCACGUCAUGAAAGUCGGUAACACCCGAAGCCGGUGGCCUAACCCCUUGUGGGAGGGAGCCGUCGAAGGUGGGAUCGGCGAUUGGGACGAAGUCGUAACAAGGUAGCCGUACCGGAAGGUGCGGCUGGAUCACCUCCUUUCUAA